UACGUAGGGGGCAAGCGUUGUUCGGAAUUACUGGGCGUAAAGCGCACGUAGGCGGAUUGUUAAGUCAGAGGUGAAAUCCCGGAGCUCAACUUCGGAACUGCCUUUGAUACUGGCAAUCUAGAGUCCGGAAGAGGUUAGUGGAAUUCCCGGUGUAGCGGUGAAAUGCGUAGAUAUUGGGAGGAACACCAGUGGCGAAGGCGGCUCACUGGACCGGAACUGACGCUGAGGCGCGAAAGCGUGGGGAGCAAACGGG
rnacentral:rRNA from 1 species